AUACAUGCAAGUCGAGCGAACAGACAAGGAGCUUGCUCCUUUGACGUUAGCGGCGGACGGGUGAGUAACACGUGGGUAACCUACCUAUAAGACUGGGAUAACUUCGGGAAACCGGAGCUAAUACCGGAUAAUAUUUCGAACCGCAUGGUUCGAUAGUGAAAGAUGGUUUUGCUAUCACUUAUAGAUGGACCCGCGCCGUAUUAGCUAGUUGGUAAGGUAACGGCUUACCAAGGCGACGAUACGUAGCCGACCUGAGAGGGUGAUCGGCCACACUGGAACUGAGACACGGUCCAGACUCCUACGGGAGGCAGCAGUAGGGAAUCUUCCGCAAUGGGCGAAAGCCUGACGGAGCAACGCCGCGUGAGUGAUGAAGGUCUUCGGAUCGUAAAACUCUGUUAUUAGGGAAGAACAUACGUGUAAGUAACUAUGCACGUCUUGACGGUACCUAAUCAGAAAGCCACGGCUAACUACGUGCCAGCAGCCGCGGUAAUACGUAGGUGGCAAGCGUUAUCCGGAAUUAUUGGGCGUAAAGCGCGCGUAGGCGGUUUUUUAAGUCUGAUGUGAAAGCCCACGGCUCAACCGUGGAGGGUCAUUGGAAACUGGAAAACUUGAGUGCAGAAGAGGAAAGUGGAAUUCCAUGUGUAGCGGUGAAAUGCGCAGAGAUAUGGAGGAACACCAGUGGCGAAGGCGACUUUCUGGUCUGUAACUGACGCUGAUGUGCGAAA
rnacentral:rRNA from 1 species